GUAGGUGUAGUUUUAUUUAAAACAUUAGAUUGUGAUUCCAAAAAUAGAGGUUAAACCCCUCUCACCUGCC
rnacentral:tRNA from 1 species